CAUAGGUUAAUGAGGCGAACCGGGGGAACUGAAACAUCUAAGUACCCCGAGGAAAAGAAAUCAACCGAGAUUCCCCCAGUAGCGGCGAGCGAACGGGGAGGAGCCCAGAGCCUGAAUCAGUGUGUGUGUUAGUGGAAGCGUCUGGAAAGGCGCGCGAUACAGGGUGACAGCCCCGUACACAAAAAUGCACAUAUUGUGAGCUCGAUGAGUAGGGCGGGACACGUGGUAUCCUGUCUGAAUAUGGGGGGACCAUCCUCCAAGGCUAAAUACUCCUGACUGACCGAUAGUGAACCAGUACCGUGAGGGAAAGGCGAAAAGAACCCCGGCGAGGGGAGUGAAAAAGAACCUGAAACCGUGUACGUACAAGCAGUGGGAGCCUCUUAAUGGGGUGACUGCGUACCUUUUGUAUAAUGGGUCAGCGACUUAUAUUCUGUAGCAAGGUUAACCGAAUAGGGGAGCCGAAGGGAAACCGAGUCUUAACUGGGCGUUAAGUUGCAGGGUAUAGACCCGAAACCCGGUGAUCUAGCCAUGGGCAGGUUGAAGGUUGGGUAACACUAACUGGAGGACCGAACCGACUAAUGUUGAAAAAUUAGCGGAUGACUUGUGGCUGGGGGUGAAAGGCCAAUCAAACCGGGAGAUAGCUGGUUCUCCCCGAAAGCUAUUUAGGUAGCGCCUCGUGAAUUCAUCUCCGGGGGUAGAGCACUGUUUCGGCAAGGGGGUCAUCCCGACUUACCAACCCGAUGCAAACUGCGAAUACCGGAGAAUGUUAUCACGGGAGACACACGGCGGGUGCUAACGUCCGUCGUGAAGAGGGAAACAACCCAGACCGCCAGCUAAGGUCCCAAAGUCAUGGUUAAGUGGGAAACGAUGUGGGAAGGCCCAGACAGCCAGGAUGUUGGCUUAGAAGCAGCCAUCAUUUAAAGAAAGCGUAAUAGCUCACUGGUCGAGUCGGCCUGCGCGGAAGAUGUAACGGGGCUAAACCAUGCACCGAAGCUGCGGCAGCGACACUAUGUGUUGUUGGGUAGGGG
rnacentral:rRNA from 1 species